rnacentral:rRNA from 1 species
AAGGUCAUGGCUCAUCCACAGGUGCUGCAUGGUUGUCGUCAGCUCGUGUCGUGAGAUGUAGGUUAAGUCCUUGAACGAGCGCAACCCCUUCGUCAGUUGCAAACCAGCAAUGGCGCACCCUGACGAUACUGCCAGCUAAAGUUGGAGAAGGAGGGGAUGACGUCAAAUCCUCAUGGCCUUUAUGUCCAGGGCUACACACAUGCGACAAUGGUCGGUACAACGGGUUGCAACACCGCGAGGUGAAGCCAAUCCCUAAAACCGACCUCAGUUCAGAUUGCAGACUGCAAUUCGUCUACAUGAAGAUGGAGUUGCUAGUAACCGCGGGUCAGCUACACCGCGGUGAAUAUGUUCCCGGGCCUU